rnacentral:rRNA from 1 species
AGCAGCCGCGGUAAUUCCAGCUCCAAUAGCGUAUAUUAAAGUUGUUGCAGUUAAAAAGCUCGUAGUUGAAUUUCGGGAUCAAUAUUUCGGUCAUGCCGUUGGUAUGCACUGUUAUCAUUGAUUUCUCACCUUCUAAAGAACCGUAAUGCCAUUAAUUUGGUGUUACGGGGAAUUAGGACUGUUACCUUGAAAAAUUAGAGUGUUUAAAGUAGGCUCACGCUUGAAUACAUUAGCAUGGAAUAAUGAAAUAGGACAUCCGAUUCUAUUUUGUUGGUUUCUAGGAUCGAUGUAAUGAUUAAUAGGGAUAGUUGGGGGCAUUAGUAUUCAAUUGUCAGAGGUGAAAUUCUUGGAUUUAUUGAAGACUAACUACUGCGAAAGCAUUUGCCAAGGAUGUUUUCAUUAAUCAAGAACGAAAGUUAGGGGAUCGAAGACGAUCAGAUACCGUCGUAG